rnacentral:rRNA from 1 species
UACGGGGGGUGCGAGCGUUGUCCGGAAUCACUGGGCGUAAAGGGCGCGCAGGCGGCCCGGCGCGUCCGCGGUGAAAGCUCCCGGCUCAACUGGGAGAGGUCCGCGGAAACGGUCGGGCUGGAGCAAGGUAGGGGGUCGUGGAAUUCCCGGUGUAGUGGUGGAAUGCGUAGAGAUCGGGAGGAACACCAGUGGCGAAGGCGGCGACCUGGACCUUUUGCUGACGCUGAGGCGCGAAAGCGUGGGGAGCGAACAGG